UACGUAGGGCGCGAGCGUUGUCCGGAAUUAUUGGGCGUAAAGAGCUCGUAGGCGGCCUGUUGCGUCCGCUGUGAAAGCCCGGGGCUUAACCCCGAGCCUGCAGUGGAUACGGGCAGACUAGAGGUAGGUAGGGGAGAAUGGAAUUCCCGGUGUAGCGGUGAAAUGCGCAGAUAUCGGGAGGAACACCGGUGGCGAAGGCGGUUCUCUGGGCCUUACCUGACGCUGAGGAGCGAAAGCGUGGGGAGCGAACAGG
rnacentral:rRNA from 1 species